GAAAGAGAUGAGAGGCAGAGAUUAUCCCACCGAGCGUGCCAAUUUGUGAACACGGAAAAUUCCUGAAACGAAAGAGACAAGAAACGACGUGCACAAACAAAUAUUUGUAUUUGAUGAUUUUGGGUUACAAUCUCUCUUUAUUUUGAUCCUCUGAUUCGAUCUCCGUAAGGUGUGUAUUUGUGGAUGUGCGAUUGAUCCAAAGGGUCGUUGGGCUUGAUCUAAGGAUGAACGUUCUUCAAGGGCCGUGGACUUGAUCUUGAAGGUGGAUUUGAGCAGAUCUUCAAAGGGGCUUUUGGGCUUGAUCUUUGAAGAACAGUGAUGAACGGAUCUCCAAGGGCUUUUGGGCUUGACCUUGAAGAACAGUGAUGAACGGAUCUUCAAGGGCUUUUGGGCUUGAUCUUGAAGAACGGUU
rnacentral:lncRNA from 1 species